rnacentral:rRNA from 1 species
UACGGGGGGGGCAAGCGUUGUUCGGAAUUACUGGGCGUAAAGGGCUCGUAGGCGGCCAACUAAGUCAGACGUGAAAUCCCUCGGCUUAACCGGGGAACUGCGUCUGAUACUGGAUGGCUAGAGUUUGGGAGAGGGAUGCGGAAUUCCAGGUGUAGCGGUGAAAUGCGCAGAUAUCAGGAGGAACACCAGUGGCGAAAGCGGCACCCUAGCGUUAGCCUGACGCUCAUGUGCGAAAGCGUGGGGAGCGAACGGG